ACUGAUAAAUGCAAAUUUGAAGACAGUGAAUGCCCCUGUGUCACUGUGUUAGUGUGCCAGCACUGACCCACACAGAGGGAAUUUACCAUGGUCCUAUUGCUGUUCUUUGGCUCCUCAAAAUGCAUGCUUGGCCUUCAGAUUCACACCAUGGAAAAUACUUUAAAAUCCAAUUUUUAAAGUGAAGGGUUUUUUUACAGUGAAGCAACUGUGGUGCAGAUGAGAGCAGCUGCAAAGUCCAGUCUGUAAAGCAGUACAGCGUGGCUGCUGCUUAUCACCAAGUUCUCUGCUGAUACAGCUUGCACCAGAGCUCCCAUUUUGGGUCAGACUAUCUCCAGACCUGUUGUUCACAGUGACGUGUUUGGCUCCACAACCUUUGCUGGUGGACCUCAGUCUGGGAUCAGACAUUUUGCUGAUUAUCCUUAUGAGCUCAUUCCUGGAGAUUUCGUUUUAUUACUGUUUAGGGUGGUUUGUUUUGCUGCUUAUCAAUGGGUAAGUUAAACAAGCCUGGUGUAAAGGCUGUCAUUGCUGCCAUUUAUGGUGUUCUAACACAGUUUCAGGCUUUUCAAGGAAACCGAAACUAAAAAUGGGGCAGGAUUGUGAGUGUUGCUCAAGAUAGAGAGGCUUUGCAGUGGUGCAUUGUAAAUAAUGACUGCUGUACAUGGCUUGCUCAUUUGGGUGUUUAUCCUGUGAGUCUGUUGCCUUGGUUUAAUAGAAUUAGGCAAGCAAUUGGAGGAGAUCCAGUGAGCCACUGCCUCACCCAGUCAUGAUUUCAAGGUUAAGGCAAUGUUGGAGCUGUCUGCUGUGAGACCUGGUGAUGAAACUCCAGCGCUGUCGCUUGUAUUUUCAGUUGUGCAGUGGCACCAUUGGGAAUGAGAUUAGGGGCUACUAGAAAGACUUAUUUAUUCAGCUGGGAGCUCAUGUUUUGUUUUCUCUGUGAGGCUUGGGCCUGUGUCGUUGAUGUAGUUCAGUGCAAACCACAGGUCACACUGUGCCUUGGUGUGAGGCUGUGAUCACACUUGUGAUCCUCUACAGUGAGGAGAUCCUGUGGAAACCAGUGGUGCCUCCCUGGUGGCUGACAUACCAAAAUAGCCUUUCUUUGGAAACCAGAGUGCAAACUGAUGUGCAAUCAGGGCAUAGGUGGGAUUUCCUCUGCAUCCCGUGGUAUAGAUAUUACAUUUAUUUACUUUGAGGUUGAUGUCCAGAAGGAAUAGCUGAUAGCUAAGCCCUGUUAAAACUUUCCCCUUAGUAGGUACAGGAUGCUCCAAAUCUGGCCAUGUUUUAAAAAAUGCAGACUUGUCAAGUGCCAGAAGAGAUCUGCUUUUCAUGGUGAAUUCACAGACACCAAAGAGGAAGCAGAGGUUCAUGUUUGGCCUUGCCACAAGACAGACUGCACCUGUGAGAGCUCUGAAGGGGGAAGAGCUACUGCCAGCCAUGCCUGCAUUCUCUGAAGUAGAGAAUGGCACUGCCUUUCCAGGCCAUUCACUCCUGUUAUGUCAGAUAGGUCAUUAAUAGUGGCUUUGCACCAACGGCUCAAAAGUUGCACAAAGCUCCAGGAGAUGGAAAAUGGAAAAAUUUUGUGUUCACAAAUGUCUUUUAAUAUCCCUGUGUAUGCUGAGGUGAGGCUGUGAACCUACUCCUUUUGCUACCACACUUUUGGCAAGCUGGAGACAAGGAAGAAGAGGGAUGGGUCCUCAGAGGAUGUGAUUUAUGAGUAUGUUUUAGCAGAUUUAGAUUUAUGGACUGUUUUAGCAGAACCGUAGGGCAGUUUAACUGAUUACUUCAGUUCUCUCUGGUUUUUACUUCCUCUACUUAAUUUGGGGAACAAGUAAUAGUCAGAAUGGAUUUUCUAGAGCCUUAAAAUACUGCUAUAGAGGAAGAAAGAUUAAUGUAGUGGUUUAGGGCUGCACAGAUACUACAGAUGGAAAAGAUAAUGGAAAUACAAAAAUUUGUGUCAGACUAAUAUCAGUACAGAACUGGCAAUGUAAGUCAAUGAAACUUUAUCUCACCUGUAGACAUUUUAACAGUUGGCUGUAAUCUGUUGUCAGAAUGGAAAUGGGGAUGUUCUGAAGUUUGCCAGUGUACAGAAUUCAUGCUCUGGUACACCUUGAUACAGCAAUGUCAUACACAGUUCUGUACUCACCAGCUUCUGGCAGUAGCAUCUUCUGAGUGAAAUCAAUCUUUCAAAACAGAAUGGAAAUUCAAGAAAAAAGUGUUAAGCUAUGCAGACCAAGUUUAUGUUCUGUUUUUCAGACUUUUGCUGUGAGUGGAGGCAAGUAACAUUUGGAUGUAUUCUUAAGGCUUUUACAAGGUAGCCAGAGAUUAUGAACUUUUUUACAGAAAAAAUCUGUUUCCUUUUGAGUUAAAAAUCUAAAAUCCACUGAGGACAUAAAAAGUCCUUCAUGUUAAGAGUCCCUCUUCAAAAUUGAUGUCAUAAAUUGCCUAAUUUUAAGAUGAAAGACCUUUUGAUAACACCAUUUUAUGUGAUCCAUGCUCAUGUUAUUGUUGGACAACAUUUUGGAUAUGUUUAAUAUGUCAUGCUUAACAAAAGUUUUUGAAAGACCUUUUCUUUUCCUCAGCAUGGAAAAGUUUUUUCACUUCCUUUUUUUCCAUCAAGCUUGUUUUCCCAGCACUUAUCAUCUCUCAUUAUUUCUUAUCUUUCUUCUGGAUAACUUUGUUUUCCCAAUUCCUACACAGAAGCCCAGUUGACUUCUGAGUGCAAUCUUUCCAUGCCAUGGUACCCAGAGGUUCAGAGAUAACUCUGUUUGCUUGGGUAAUGUUGGUGGAUAGAACACAAUGCAAUUUUAAAACCUUUUUCUGAAAGGAAAAAAAAAAAAAGACUUUGUAUACCUCUGGAGAAUGGAAGUAAAUUACAUUCUUCUAUUAUGUAUGUGAAUCUGAUUACAGGAAUGGCAGAAUUAAUUUAUCUGCUUAUAAAGAACAUGGCAUCUUCUAAAAUGCACAUGAUUAUUUUUAGUUUUGUUGAUUUUAGCUGAACCAUAGAUGUUUUUCAGUGUAUAUUACAACUGCAUAUUGCUUUCUGAGACAGUGAAUGCAGCACUAGAAAGCAAUUAUGGAACUAAUGUAUUUCCCUGAAAUGUACUUUGUGAUGCAGGAUUUUACUCAUGUUUCUAAAAAUUACUUAAACUUCUGCCUAAAUAAUCCUGGUAUCACAAAUAUGCCACUUAUAUCAAAUUAUCCCCAAAAAACCAUCUUGGUAAGGAGAAGUAUUCCAUUACUGUCAAGAAUAACUUGCCUUCCAUAAUUACAGUUUUCCCCAGAUCCAAAUUUUUUUUUUUUUUCAGCGAGGACUGUAAUGCCUGCCUAUUCUGUGCACUGGGACACCUGCACAGUGAGCCACAAAGAGCAGAAAGAACAUGUAUUUUGGCACUAAAACACCCAAGUAACAAAGCAGACAGUCAUCAUACAAAAGUAACCUCUUCAAACAAACCCUCUGUCACCCAGCUUCUGGUGAAUUUUGUGUAGGAAUCAAUUUUCCUUUUUCUCCUUGUACCGCAUGUUGCCACAGUCUCAACUUCAAGGAUGAUCAGAGACCUAUGAAAUAUGAUCUAAGGAGAAGGAUUGAAAGAAUUGGGAUUGUUUAGUCUGAAGAAAAGGAAGGUGUUGGGGAAAAUGAUAAUGAUAUUUCGAAAGGUAAAAUGUUUCUCUACAGAGAGAAGGAAUAAGUUUUUCUUUAUGUUCAGUGGGUCUAGGGCAAGAGGUGAUGGACUUGGAGAUUUAAAGUAGACCUUAGGAAAUUAUUUCAAACUGUAGAUGUAGUUUGGCACUGAAAAUGAUUAUCUGGGAAUCUCAUUUGCUGAAGGCUUUGAAAGGCGGAUUAGGUCACAUGUCUCAGGAAUGGUUUUAGUUGCAGUAGAUUAUAUGGAGAUAACCCAAAAAGGUUCCUGGCUGGUUUAUGGUGUUUUGUUUCUCUCAGGUGAUUUACAGUAGAUGCUUUGCUGUUGUAUUAUUUUUAUUCUUACUCUUCCUUAUAUCCUCAGAAAAUGCCAGUAAGAAAAGAUGUCAGUAGGUAAAAGUAGGAUAAGUAGAAUGGGUGGGGACAUUCCCAAUAGCAGAAUACUAAGAAAUCCUGCAGUUCCUGCAGGAAAGCUGGUGUGUUUGAGCAGUGUGUGACAUGCUGACAUAUUCUCCUGGCAGGCUUUGGGACACAAGUAUUGGGCUGGCUUUCAACAAGUGGUGGUUAUUCAAUACACAGAAAUCUUUGUUUAAAAUUUUAAUUUUAAAAUUUUCUGUGUUCAAGUAUUUCUUGAAUUUGCAGGGAUGAACUCCAUCUACAGUUCACCAGUAGCCAAUUUGAUAAACUUUUUGUUCCUCCAGUUCUCUGUAACAGUAAGGUAGUAUCCAAAAUGCUUGUAAUUCUUUGAAACAGAGUUGAGGAAUUGUUUGUUCUAGUUAAAUAUGCAUUCUGCUGCAAAAUUUAAAGCACCUUUUGUUCACUUUCUCCACAGUCUUCCUGUUUUUCUGAUUUUCACCAUUCUUCCUGUAGCCUAAAAUCUCUAUUUUUUGGCUGUAGGUAACUGUAGGUCUUCUGCAAUAACAGAGUGAUAAAAUGACACUUUAAUAGAUUCAUGUGAACCUGGGGAGUGUGACCUGUCAGACACCUCUGCCCACGUCCAAGAUCACCUGUGUCUUUGUCAUUCCUUGACAGAAAACUGUUGAAACUCUUCCUGAGUACUGAAUGAUGGUUACAGGUACUGUGUUGUAAUCCCUUGCUGCUUCAAAAAAUUUCCUGUGAUUGCUAUAAGUCAAACUCUUUGUUAUGUGUUCUGUUUGUAUUGUUAAAGCAAUUUUAAAUACCUGAAAACAAUGUUACAAUGCUUUGUUUCAGUUUUUCCUUAUGGAUCACGAUUUGUAGAUCUCUGUGAUGUUUCACUGUCCUGCAGCCUCCUUCUUUGGUCCACUUUUCCAGUAAGCAUGGCACCCCAAGCUGCACAGAGUGAUCCAGUUAAAAUCUCAGUGUUUAAUAAAGAAAAAAUUAUUUAGUGUAUGCAAAAAUGCCAUUGACCAAAUUUAGUGUCCUUCCCUUUUCCUAGCACAUUGUUUCCUGUAGUUUGUAGCUCCUGUCACUCCCCAUCCUUCUCCAUGUAAUUCCUGCCUACUCAGAUUUUCUUAUUUUAUUCUUCUCCAGAUGAUUAUUCUGAAGGGUACUAUUUAGCACUUCCUGUUGAAACUCUGGUCUGUGACAGCUUAGCUGGCUGAAUUGCAGCAGACAAGUUACUGGAGACUGAACAGAAGGAAUGUGAGAAGGAACCAUUGAAGAUUUUGUUCUAAAAGUAUGAGGUGGUUGUGAAUGACUGCUCUUGGGAAAUUCACUUUAUCCUCUGGCCAGAAAUGUUUCUUAACAUUUAGUUUUACUUUUUGAUUAGUCUGUGUUUGUACAGCCUGCUCCUGGAGGGACAGGCUGGAAAUUUGUACCAGUAUUUGCUUUUGCAUGCUCAAACACUACUGUGUUUCCUGAAAAAAAAUUGUAGAAAACAACUAUAUCAAGCAGAAAAGAGAAGUUACCAUAAAUGAAGCCUCUAACAGUAUGAAAAAGAAUACAGUAAGGUAACUGUACAAUUCUUUAGUCUGUUCUGAUUUUGAUUGUGUGGAGAUUUCUGUAAGACAUGAAAAUCCUGCUUGUUUACUUACAUGACAAAAGAGGAGAGGCCUUUUUUGUAGCAGAACAUACUGUUUAAACAAACACCACAGUGAAAUAAGACAGCUAAAGGUACUUUAGGUCUGUUCUUUUUUUUUUUUUUUUAUGUUUCAAAAAUUUUGUGUCUAAGAAUAAUUUUUUUUUUUCAUUUACUGUGAAGUGCAUGCCUACAGUUAGUUCUUGUAACAGCAAACUGUUCCCUCUUUCAGUUAAGUUUACAAAAAUUGCACACUCUGUGGAGCUACUUUAACUUUUAUUUGGAGGGGUUAUCAUCUUAGCAGUGGACUUACACACUGCUUCAGAAAUUCUGAAGGCUGCAUAUUGACUUAGAAAAUGUCUCAAAAACCACAGGCACUUCAUUUGGUGUUUUGGUCUCUGUGCUGACACUCAUUUAGACGUAGGGGACUGCACAUAACCUCUACAAAACACAGGGUGAUUGCAAUGGUGCAUUUUGCCUCUGGCUUACAAGCUGUACACCAGCACAGUGCAAGGGUUAAGGACAAGAUAAAAUCACUUGCUGCUGUUUUGAUUUCCUGAGGAGUUGUUGUUUUUACAUGAGAAAUGAGGAAUGCAGUAGGGACAAUUCCUGUGCCAAAAUUUCAAAGUAUGUUCCUGUCAACUGCGGUGCCAUUCAUAGGUUUUACAUCAGAAUCUUAAGUUUGGAUAGAAAGAUCUCUGUUGUAGAAGCCCCAUCUUGUGGACAACCAAUCAAUGACUACUUCAGCAUAACUGAAAUUUGAAAUACUUAGACAAUCUGAAGAUAUUUUGGUAGUUUUUUCUACAAACUAAAGAGUCGUCAUAUUUCUGAACAAUAUGGAAACUUCAUUCACGUGUAUAAAUCAGCAUGUGCUUUUCAAAAGACUAUUUCCAAAGGAAGAAAUUGUGAAUUGCAGAGAGGUAUUACCACUGGAGUGGAAACAAGGAUAGUGCCCUCAGAACCCUGUUUUAAGUCCAAAUCAGCUAAAACAUAAGCCUGAAUCCUGCCUUGAAUUCCCAGAACCAGUGUCCUGUAGCAUUUGGAUAGUACAAAUUAGUCUUUAAGUGGUAAAAUCAUAUAAGGGCAGAAGGACAUCCUUUGAAAAAGUUGUUGAGAGAAAGAAUAGCAAAGUAUGCAUGAAAACUGAAUCUGGAAACUUUGGAAAUACCCUGAAGGAGAUUGUUUCAGCACAAAGUAAUGGAAGAGGUCAAGCAACUCCAGACUCAAUGAGUCAACACAGUAGGAGGAGUGUUAGGAAGGUUAAAAGAGUGUGAAAACAAGCCUGUGAUAAAAGUUAUUUUCAGGUUUCAAUAUGACAUUGGUAGGAUAUUUCAGAUACAUUCUAUUAAAUAGAGUAAUAUAUACAUAUAAUUAGAAUGUCUUUUUGUUGCUCUGAAGAAAUUGGUUUACUCUUACAAUAGUUUUCUGUUUCUUCCAUAUGAAGGAAGAAGAAGCCUUCGUGAUAGUUUUCCAUGUAGUAAUUAAGGCCAGAAUGAAGGAGCCAGAAAAUGUGGCGACAUCUAGGGAAAGGUUGGCAGAAGUGCCUCCCAGUGAAACUGUAGCCACUUCUUUUUCUGUGAAGGUGGUGUAUCCAGGGAAAGUUUUGUUGGAAUGGCUAAUUUGGAAGGGAUGCCAAGAGUAAAGAAGAUUCUGGCGUGUGGAAAGAGAGCCAUUGCAGCCCCUUUGAGGGGAGGAGAAGAGGGGUUGCUAUUCCUACACGUGGAUAUGUGACUGAGCAAGGGGAUUAACAGAGCAAAAGUUCAGGGUCUCGACAUUGCAAAGCCAGGAAAUAAUUUCUUACUCCUUACCAAUAGUAGUCUGAAUGAAAUCUUCACUUUUCAGACAUACCAGCUGCAAUACAUUUUAAAAUCACCUUUAAAAGUGAGUAUACAUCUGCCGCUUCACAAUUAUUUAAAUAACUGCUUCUUUCAUCUUGAAUUGAAAUAGUUAGAUUUGCAUCAUUCUGUAGUUUGGGAAUUUCAUAAGCAGCUCAUUUGUAACAUAUAUAGAUCUGAAAAAGUCACCUUUUUUAAUAAGCUAAUAGAUACAACUAUACAUGCACAUUAUCAGUAUAUUACUAAAAAUUCACAGAAAUAUCUGGCUCAUUUUGCUUCUCAUAUGUUUUUGGAAUAGAAUUCUAUGAUGAGUUGUCUGAGCCAGUGCAAAACCUUUAAGUAAAAUGUACAUUCCAAAUUUUUACCUUAGUCUUCUUAAAGAAGAUAAUGUUAAAACUUUAGCAAUAUACAAGACUACAGUUUUUACCUGAGAGCAAAUUCUGCUGGAACCAGCAUGUGCAAUCAAAAUCUUUCUUAGUGUGAAGUGAAACCAUGAAAGGAUCUUUGCAGCUGCUUUGUAUGGAAGUUGUUUCUUCCUCAGGAGACAGGGAACAGCAGAUGCUGGUUCACCCCUCAAGGGAAGAGCAGAUGAAGUGGGAACAGCUACUUAGAAUUCCCUGCCCUUAAAUAAUAGAAGCAUGAACAGUUCAGCAAGAGGAGUACAGACAGAUAAUAGUAUGGUGUGAAAUCUAGAGGAGCUGUAGCCUAGGAAAAGAAAGUGAAGAUGUAAAGCUUGUCAUAAAAGGGUGUUGGAAAGCAAGGAUUUAUUCCAGUGGUGUCAAGGGAAGGAAUAAAGGCUACUCAAUCCCUGCUUCACCAGGUGAGUUCAUUGUAGUACAGAGGAAGGACAGGUUUUGGUAUAAAGGACAGUCUAUUUCAUUAUUCUGAGCAGAAGGCUCUAGAAGUAAUUAUUAGUAAAAGCAAAGUCUCUGAAGGAGUAGAAGAAAAGGGUAUCAUUCUUGGAUUGAACUGUAUUAUAAAUUGCAGGUGGUUAUUAAUGCCCAUUUGAGAAGGAAAGGGAACUGAUUACAUCAAGAGCAAUUUGUUGUACCUUCCCUGCUUAGGUACAGUAACAUGUUCAGUUGCAGAGGGUUCAUUGCUAAAAGUUGCAGAGUAGCAUUUAUCUCUCAUACUAAGACAUUUUUUCAAAGAAAUACAGCAGAACUGGAAACUCAAAGUUUAAGUGUAAACCUGCAGUAAUCCACUGUCAGAAUUGUGUAGGUGUAUAAAAUUGAUUUCAAAGGGAAUGAAGAGGUGUGACUUGUGAAUUGCUACUUUUUAAAGAUAAAAAAUUAGUUCACAUGUAGGCCAUGUUAAAAAAAGAAAGUAACUUUUCAUCUUUAUCUUUUUAUUAUGCACAUUUUUAUAGAUGUUUUCUUUGGUUGCCUGUAGCCUUUCUGCUAUUUUAAAUAUUCUCAAAGUUUUAUUGAGAUAAAAAUGUUAAAAGAUGUAACGAUACUGAUAUAUCAAGUGAUUUAGCAUUAAAAAAGACAGAUUUUCAGUGGCUAUUUGAAAACAAGGCUUGAUGUGUUAUGUCAAUACAAAACUAAAUCUAUGCAGUUGAACCUUGAGCACUUGUGUUUGUAGUGUAUAAAAGUGUUCUUUUAAAGCCGUCUCUGUCUUGUGUCCCUUCCUCUUCCAGCCCAGUCCCUUUGUCCAGAGCAGUGGUGGUGCCACAUUGCUGUGACCCCAUUGCAGCACCAUAGGAUCCACUUCUCCAGGAUUGAUCCUGGUCCCUGUGCCGUGUCAGCCAGAGGAGAAGGACAGGCCCCUGCCAUCACCAAGGUCGACCCAAAUCUCUCCUGAGCCUUGUCCAAAAAGGUUCAGUAAUUUACAGUUCCUUAUGGCAAGACACUUCUUCUAUUGUCAUGAACAUUUUAAAAUGUUAUCAGACAAUAAUUGCUAUCACAACUUUUAAUUCUGUGUUUCUGUUUCAAAUUUUCCUCAGUUCAAUCAGAACCAAAAGUUAAUGCCCGUUGGCUAAUUUCCAGUGCAUGCCUUCACAGAACAACUGCUGCCUUUAACUGGUGGAGAGAUCAAGGCUUGAACUGACAAAAGACAUCUGUAUUUUGGAAAACAAAUUAAUGUUUAUGUUUUAAUUUAUAAGUUCCUGGCUCUUUUAUGGUUCCUGUUUUUCAAGUAAUGUCUCUUUGGAUCUCCAGCUGAUGGAGAGUCAAAAUGGAAAAGACCCAUGAGAGAAUUAUCACAAUAGAACAUCUGGUCUGCAUUGGAAAAAGCUGAGAAAGAUAUUCAACAUCUCUGAGACCGAGGCAGCCAUAAGGCAGUUUCAAAGUCAGUCCAUGAAAAAUUGUGCAGGUUGUGGCCACCUGGGCCAAUCUAGUGUUGUUUUGGGAAGAGCUACUCUGCUUAUGAGUAUCUGAAUUUUAAUCCCCUUUAAACUUGGAUAUGUGAGAGCUGGGAGUGGUAUGAAAGGUGUUUGCUUUCCAUAAUGUUAAUCUGAGUCCCAGCAUUGUCCUGAUUAUAUUGUGGGUUUUUGCCAGUCUUAGAUUUCUUUUGAGCAUGUAGGCUGGAGUCAAAAGGCUUUCCCAGGGCUUUUGGCAUAGCUUUACAGGAAAGUGGAUGGAAAGGACUUAGUGUAUUUUUGGAAGAAUAUUUUGCAUCUUGCUUUAAACUAUUCCAGAAGGUAAAAGGAUAUUAGCUAGACUGUGUGUUGGCUCAUGUACUGCAAUGUCACUAAUGGCAAGGAGUUUUAUUCCUGUUUUCUGCAGUCACAGACUGAAAUGCAAAGAAACCAUGGAGCAACCAGGGGAGUAAAUGUACCCCUGGAUUCAGAGGGAACAAACUCCAACCACCACACAGAACUUUGGUCCUUUAAGUCUUUAUAGCUCAUGCAGAACAGAAACAAUUUGACAUGUAUAACAAGAAACAUUGCAAAUUGUUUGCCAAACAAAGACUUAUACUGCAGAUGGAAGAACUGAUGAAAAUUGUUUAUAGAUGGGGAACUAAAUGUAGAUUUUUCAAGAACAAGGUUGUUGUCUUCCUUGCCAAGACAAACAAAUCUGAUAGACCAUCUCAUUGCUUUAGGCUGCCUGAGGACCCACUGCAAAGUCUAUGCACCUUUUUCCACAGAAAAUUUGUGUUUUGUCAAUACAUAAGUGUAUUGUCCAGAGUUACACUGUGGCAGCUGCAGAGGAAGUGGAAGGUUCUCAGGAAUACAUUAGGGAGAACUGGAUUUUUGGCUUCUGAAACAGUGUGGAGUGCUUUUGGAAACUCUGGAAGUUUAUAAGCUGGAUGUUACUGCUACAAAAGGUUAUCUGUGAGUUAAACAUAAUAGUAAUUAAUCUGCUAUCUUUAGAUCUUAACACUAACAACACAAUGAAAUUGAGAAUUCCUGUCUUCUAGAAUUGCAGUUUCCAAGAUGCCUUCAUUCCUGUGAACAUACCCUGAUCUGCACUUAGAGAUUUGCAGUGUUACCUUUAGAAAUCUGUGCACAGAUGUUUCUACAAAGCACUGUGUAAUCAUCCCAAACAACUGGUUUCAAUGGGCCAGUUAUUUAGGAAAUCAUGUAAUGAGAAUAUAAAUACAAUCCCUGAUACUGACAUAAAACAUGUAUUAGCAAAAUAAUAUAAUUUGUAUUUCCCUGAUACAGAGCAGAUCCUGGAAAUACAUAGCUCAUAAUGUCCUUAAAAUUCUGUUAUACCUGUAAACAUCUCUAUUGGCAGAGAGGCCCAGCAGCAUCCUGGGCUGCAUUAGGAGAAGCAUUGCUAGGAAGUCAAAGGAGGUGAUCAUUCCCCUUUGCCCAGCACUAGUGAGACUUCAGUGGGAGUGCUGUGCCCAGUUCUGGGCUCCCCACAGCAGAAGGAGGUGAACAUGGUGGAGGGAGGGAGGAAGGAAAGGGCUGUGAGGAUGGAUAAGAGGAGCAUCUGUCCUGUGCCUGCCCAGGGAGGUUUUGAAGUUGAUGUCGUUGAAGAAACUCCAAACUCAACUGAGCAAGGUCCUGAGCACCCUGCCCUGGGUGAUCCAGCUUUGAGCUGGGCUUGACUGAGUGAUCUGCAGAGAUGCUUCCAGACUGGGAAUGUUUGAGGCAGUUUGCUUGUGUCCCGUCAGGGUUUUAGCUGCAACUUGACUGUGGAGGAAUCCUAAGGAGAGCAAAGGCUGUGACCCUAGAAAUUCAUCCAGAUGGCUGAGGCCCAGAAAAAGCAUAAUGGGAGCUGCUAAGUAUUCUGAAUGUCUCAUCAGAGUGAUAUUUCACUUGAAAAUACAAAAUAGAAAUUACUUGGGUCUUAAUGACACUGAAUACCCAUAAUGUUCUCUCACUUCAGCUGGACUGCAGAUGGUAACAACCUCUCUCUAUCUGAGCACACUUCUUUUAGUUUAAUCUUGGCCUGUAAAAUCUUAACAUAUAUUUUACUCUAGAAAUUAAUACUUGGUGCUUUAUGUUGCAGAAUUUAUUUACUGGUUUGUUUCACACUUUCUUUCCUUACUUGUACUGAUAUUAAGAAAUUAAAAUCUAUUUUGACAUAUUACUUCAGUAAUAAGCACACACUAUGUCUCAAGGAGUUGAGAAUUUCAUAAUUUGAGCAAGGUGAAAUCAAAAUAUAUAAUUACAUUGCAUAGUCUAUGGAACUUAGUUUGUAACUAUUCUUACAGUACCUUCAGAGUAAGAAGGAAGAUGAAAUUCAAAAAGGGAUUUCAUAGUUUAAAAAGAUUUAUAUUGAAAGAUUUAUGUUGAAAGGCAAAGAUAAUUUUUUUUAAAAUCAGCUGAAUGGUGAUUGGAAAAUUCACCUGUGGUUUUUCUUUAUGAAAGGAGCUAAUGUGCAGUAUUGAGAAUUCCCAGAUCCUCCUUCUUUUGAAAAUUCUUUGUCUUUUACAUUGCCUCUAAGGAAAAAGGGAAGCACACUAGAAAACAAGAAACUGAGCAACAUUCCACAAGUAAUUAGGAAAUAAAUAGAUUAUAAAGCAUUUUAUUUCAUUUUGGUUUUGCAUUUCAGCAAGUGAAACAGUAAGUAAUAUUAUCAACAGUAAGUAAUGUAUUAUCAAUAUAUGGAGUCACAUUGGGUCUGACAGACCAAGGCAUAAAUAUAUAAAUAACUCCUGUGAUAAUUAUUAGAGAACAUCAAGUUUUUCUAGGGAUUAGAUAAUUUGAAAAUUAAGACUUCAGACAAAAAUAGCACAUGAAGAUCAAAUGUACUUAAUCAUUGGUUACUGUCUCUGCACCACUUUCCCCUGACUUAAUGCUUUUGCAUCUCUUUUACAUCUCUGAUUCAGUCUCCUCUCUCCUGUGUGGGAUGGGGUUUUUGGGGGGGGAGAGUAUUACUUUAAGUUGACACCUCUAGCAGGAGUUUCUACUUGUACUGAUUUCCUUCUAUAAAUGUGUAACCUAUUAUAUCUAUCCAAACCUGGCUGAGCUCCAAGUCACCCAUUUCUCAGUAAUACAGGAAAUUAAAUCUAAUGUCUAAUAAGCAUAGAGGCUUAUGCAACCUUCAUUCCCUGUAAAAAGUAUUAAAUAACAUAAUAAUAUUACAUUGUCUUUUGAUAGCUGGAGAGUUGUGCACUUAGUUUUAAUGUAGAUCAAACUGGCUCUGCAUUUGGGCUUGAAGAGUCUGGGUUUAUCCAUCCUUUUUUACAGACUUACUGAAUUUCACCUCAAAAAUUCUCCUCUUAUUAAAGGACCCCCUAAAAUACUCCUGUGUAGGGUUUGGUCCCUUUCUCCCCUUCUCCCCUUUGUUCCCAAGAGGGCUGUGUACCCCCUGAUCUCAUUCUGGGGGUGCUGCUGCUUUCUCAUUCAUUCUCUCUCCCUCAGGAUUUUCCAGCCUGAACAGAUUUCUGCUUUUCCAUCCCAUUUUCUGAUAAUACCCACCACAGCUCUUUGACAGUUGGUGUAGCCUUUAAAAAUGCAGAAAACUGACUUUAGGCCAUACAGGCUAGCAACAUAAUUUCAGGGCUUUGUCUCCUGCAUGUACCAAUUCAAUAAGUGGAUUUAUACUGAAUAAUUUUAAACUGUUACAGCCCUCUGAAACCAUUUCUAUCUUGCUGCUGUAAUACAUAAAGUGACAUAAGGUCACUGAUGCUGUGGAAAUUGGUUUUGGAGUUGAUAUGCUAAUUCAGCAAGAAAUCAGUUCUAGCAGAAAAUUAUUUUAAUCUACUGCCAUGCUACUUUGUUGGCUUUUAGGAAAGAGAUAAUUAAAAUAUUCGAGGGAGUUCCAAGGCUGUGGAAAAAAUAUCAUUUUGGAGAUUUAAGGUUAUUUUUGCCUCACAGUUUAUUAGCUUCUUUUCUGAAAGCAAAUAAGUUGAAUGUGAUGGACAAAAGUAUGACAUUUUCAUGUGCUCAAAAAAGUAAAAAAUAAGUUUUUUUUUAAAACUGAGUUCUGCAUUAGAAUAAACUUGGUUCAAUCUUUUCUGUGUCACUCACCCCAUGUUUACAGUAACUGCUCCUGCAAUUUUGUGGAUGAAAACUUCCAUGCAGAUACAUCCAGGGCCAUUAAUGAGGUUACAUUAUGCAACUAAUUGCAGUGGGGAACAAAAUUACAUUAAUGGUGCCUAAGGAGAAAGAGAAUCUCUGCACUCAGUGUGAGUAAGGGAUAGCCAAUGCCUUAUUUUUGUCAAAACAAAUAUUUAAGUUAAAUUAAAAGCAAUGGUUGAUUUCUGAGAAUAAUCACUUAACAGUUUGAAAGGCCUAUAUUUCUUUCAAAACACUGCACUUAUACUAAGGAAUUUCUAAGCACAAAAAAGAAAGUAACUGUAAUGUUUACUUCAUUAAUAUGCCAAAGGAAAAAAAAAAUACUGCAUAAACUUUUUCAUCUUUUUGAGAUGAAGAAGGGGGAAAAAUGCAUUUUUAAGAAAUAUUUUAAAAAUCUGAAUUGUAAAAGUAGUGCUGUCAUUGUCAUAUUUUCAAAGAUAUUUCAAUUUUAUAAUAAAGACAAAAAAUAUAACAUUUUUCUCUCUAUUUUUUUCAUAAAACAGAUGUGAUGCUGCUGUUUGCAGAGGAAGGACACAAGCUACAUCAAGGGUAGUGUCUGUUCUAGAGUGAAGGAUGAGCUCCACUGGAGAUGAGCUGGCUUCCCUGGCUGCAGUGCUCAGUAUUUUAUUUUAGCAAGCCUGAGAUAGGUCCAAGUCUUCAUCUACCCCUGCACUUUGUGUUAGUGCAAGUACCAGAUUGUAUGUUAUUGAAGAGAGAGAAAUAGAAAAUGCAAUUCAAUGUUUUAUUUCAUGCUCCCCAAGUUUACUCAGACAGACACACCCAGAGUGAAUGUGCUGCACUCAACUUGGAGAUCUCGUGUUAUAAAUUCUGGCUCUCCUGUGCUUUCCUGCUUUGUCCAUAGAGCAGAUAAGAGUUCAUAACAGGAACACCCUGUUACCUCAGCUGCAAAAGGUUCUGAGAAUCUAAUGGCCAAGAGAGUGGAAUUUAAAUUUAUUUCUGUUUGGCUUGUGUUUCAGCAAGCAUUUAAAAGAUCCACUAGUUUAUCUUUGUCAGAGAUUGUUUUUCUUUUGGCUUAGCUUGGACACCAGUCUCACUGUUGAGUUUAUACGUUUAUGGAGUAGGACCCGAGGUUUUCUCCAUGUGUUCAGUAUUAUGGUUUUGACUUUGCAAGUCUUGUUACUUUGGGAUAGGUGUAAAAGUCAUGUACAGCAAGAACAGAACUGGGAUUUGGAUGCUGCAGCUUAGUCAAUUGAGGAGGAACAAAAGUUUGAAGGCUGCUUCUCCUCUUGGCUGAUGGGCAGAAGGAUUGGUAAAACUGCAAAGACAACUGCACACCCUAAUGAUGGUAUCUAUCAUAAAUUUUAGUUCAUAGGCAGAUUUUGAGGAAUAGUUUUUAAAAAGUAGUUCUUUUACUCUCCUUUAGAGAGCAAACCAUGUGUGACCAUAGCUGUUUUUCCAAAAUGCCUGAUUUUCUUUCCUCUGUGGCUACCAGUUGAGUUCUCAACAUAGGAAUGUCCACAAGGUGGUGCCACAGCUAAGAAAUUUGCAACAAAUAAGGCAAAAGUAAUUUGAUAAUUCUCUCUGCUUUUUGUAACUGAAUAAAGUAUCUGCAUCAUUAAAGAAUUAAUAAUUAUUUCAUAAGCCAAAUAUCACAAGUUUGCAAGCUCUUUUUUAAAACCACUUGUGUGAGCAGAGGUGGGUCUGUCUGCUGAGCAAGAACAACAUCCACAUGCCUGUGACUGACCCAAAUCCUGUACAAAAAUGAAGAGGCAGCUCAGGGUUUAGCAGACAGGCUGAUGAAGACGUGUAUUUCCUAGCAGGGUUACCUGUACCAGCACUGGCAUGUGUCUUAUGUUUUUGUCUGGGUCACUUCAGCAGGAAUCAGCCUGAAUCCUGACAAGCAGAAUAGUUCAUCCACUUCAGCCAAGACAGCUUCCACUUACCCUGGAGUGGCUAUGGUACAUCAAACCCUAAUUUCCUGAUUUUUUUCUAGAACCAUGGAUAGCCAGGCUCCCUGUCCUAUGCUAAUCUACAACUGACUGUUAAUUCCUAAGGGGUGUGAAGUGCCUACAGAGGGACAUGCACACUUGCUCAAGUUUAUGAGCAUCUUCCUAGAAAAAAAUCAGACUAGAGAAAGUACAAGGCAGUAACAAGGGAUAGUAAGAUUUCAAGUGUACCAUCCAGUACAAAAAAGACAGUAAAACUUCCAGGAAAAUGUUGUUUGUAUGGAUCUGGAUGACUGCACUGACUUGUAUGUCCCAGAAGAGCUGAAGUGCAGCAGGACUUGGCCAUUCCCCUCAGGUGUGUGUCAGUUUUUCAGCUACCCUUGGCCACAUGGUGCUUCUUGCACCCCUGCCCUGCUCCCCUCAGUGACAUCUGCAAUCCAGAUAUUUUGCACAGAGAAAAUAUGAUACUGUAUUCUGAAGGGAAUGAAUGACAGAGUAUCAGAUCAUACAUCUAAGUCUCCACGGUGUGAAAACCCCAGUAUGGACUGUAAUCCAAGAUCAGGAAGGAGAUAAUGCACUGCCAUCUGAAACACAAGAAAGAUCAAAAUAAGUUUUCAGUGUGCCACCAAAACCACAGUGCUAGGUUUCUGUUAAGGAGAAUGAGUAAUACCAUUCUAGCUGUGAAGGCUGCUGUGAGUGGGUAAUAAUUCCAUUUAACUGAUAGGGCAGAUUAUGUAUUUUGCAAGAAAAUAAAUAAUUCCAGGUAAAAUCUUGCCCUAAGAAAGCCUACCACCAUAGCCACUUAGCUGAAGUUGCUCUCUGCAUACUUGUCUAACUUUAGGAUUCAGGAACAUCCUACAUCCCCAAACCAGCCUUGUUCAGGAACACAUUGCCUCCAACCUUGGUGUGGAAGGAGGGAUCUGUUCCUGCUGCUGCUCCCAGGAUGUGGGAUGUGGGUUGACCCUCAGCUCUGCAGCUGCAGGCAGCGUGUGUUGAGGCCCCUCUCAGAGCCUCUCUCCCCAUUCCUGUUUAGCAGUGUAGGCUUCAGACCUUUCUGUGCACCCAGGGAAAUUACUGAUCAAGCCAGGGCUCACCCAAGUUCCCUCCUGGAGGGGGAUAUGGAUCUGUUCAGAAGAGGGAUGCAGUAGCCAUUUCAAAUUUUGUGUGCCAAACUAUUCUCCAUAGACAGCACAAAAUGACAGAACACAGGUAACAUAUUGUGUAUGCUGUGCCUAUUUCUUAUUUCUUCUUCCCAGGGAAAAUAGAUUAAAAUGGGUAUUAAGUUUCCCUCUUGUUCCUCCAAUAAUAGAAAAUUACUAGGGAUGAGAAAAUAAGAAAGAGAUUUUGUUUUCUAGAAAGGCCUUCCAGCUAAAUGGUUUUUUAAAAUAUUAUGAAACAUUCUUGCCUACCUUAAUAGAUGAGAAAAGUAACAGAAGAACUGUGAAACAAAUUAAUACAUCAAAAAUAUCGACCCCUGGACCUUAGCUAAAUCUAUAUUCAUACUUGUAAUAGUGUUGCAGAUCGAUAAUACAAUGCUAUACAGAUGUUAUACUGUAUACAUUGAUUUGUUAAAAUGAUAGUUAUGGGUGAGGCUGUUAACAGACACUGCAACAUAUAAUAAAGGACUGACCUACUAACAGAUCUAAUAAUAAAGCAGAUCUAAUAAAAAACAUCUAAUAAGUGACAAGCAUAUAAAGCACAUAAAGUGAUCCAAAGCCUAAUGAUUUGUUUCAUGAAAAUGUUUCUGUUGUUUUCUGUUUAUAUAAUUUAACAUUAAGAAUAUGUUUUCCUUUAUAAAUUUUAAAUGCUACUGGUCUGAAAUUUUUGUGCAGACAGUCUAACAGAACAGAAGUAUAAUUCUUCCAGAUGUCAUACUUACAAAAUUUUUAAAUUAUAAUCCUUCUGGUGCCUAAUAUUAAUAUGCCUUUGCAUUGGGGUAGCCUAGUUACAGUCUUCUUUUGGAAGUGCCACCUGCUUAAAUAAAAUUGAUUUGCAAAGUAAUGCUAAGAUAUGUUUAAUUUUAAUUAAGAUCUUUACUAUUUUCAUGAAUAGGUGUCUCUGUCCCUAGUUUUAACUUGUAAUACUCUGUUUAACAAAUGAGUGGCUUCAAUCAUACUGGGAGUACUUAUGUAAGUUUUCACAGUUGAUUGCCGGGAUGAGAGCUGUAAAAACAAAGAUCAGGUGAAGAUCCUUUCUUGGAACACACUAGGAUGUGAAUCUCUUUUUAAUUAUUGUUCAUAAGUCUACUUAUUAAAUAGACAAUAAUAACUUUAAUCAAUUAUAUUUGUAUUUUUGUGUGUCACUGAAGUCAAACAGCACACUUACAUGGCUGCAGUAUGUAUGAAUCUUCCUGCAGUAC